rnacentral:lncRNA from 1 species
AUUAGCUACAGUGGCCUCCUGGGAUCACCAUUUGCAAUAUAAGCCCAGUGACUUAAAGGAGAGAGUGGAGAGGAAUCAUGGUAAGGCUUGUAACUCCAAGGAUGAAGAACAACCAGGGCUUGGGGAUGGGUGAAGAAUCUUCUGAAGAAGUGACCUGGCUACUCUUAUAAAGUGUCAGGUGUCAUGGGUUCAGCCAUCUCACACUAUUUAAAGUGGGGGACCCGUCCUUCACUGAUGGAGUGGACAGGUGAUCAGAGAACCAUCCCACCAAGAGAAAGACCCUCUUGAGGCCCUCCAUCUCUGCAUGUCAGGUUCACAGUAAGUCUUAACGGUGCCAAACAUAAGCCCUUAUGCCACUCUUCUCUUCUCUUAUCACCUUUGCACCCUUCUCCAACCCACACACAUGCAUACACUGGGCCCCUGACUUCCCUCUUCCUAGCUUCUCUUUCUGCUAUUAACUGGCAGUUGCUGCCUAAACUCGCCAACCACCUUGAGAGUUGUGAGAGGAUAGCCCGGCAGCCUGUAGCUGUAUGCUGGGGGUGGGGAGGGCUGAAAGGAAGAGGACGUCCACCCUCCCAAUGUCAAGUUGCUGAGUGAAGUCUCCUUUGAUGACAAUGCAGUAGGGCUAAAGUGGACUAAAAUUUGCUUUCUCUCUCUCAGGCUGUGAGACAGAGCAUAGAACCUGUGUCAGGUCACAGGAGAGUGAUCCCCCAACACUUUGGGCCAUGUUCCAACCCUGCCUGCCCCAAUUCCCAUUGUGUAAAAUCCAUCUGCAACCUAUGCCAGAUAAUCACUUCCUAUUCCUGUCAAAUCCUUCCAACGCCUAACUGCACACCAGCCCCAGAUGUUGAUCAGAUUACAUCUUUGUCCUGUUUCAUGAGAAAGUGAGGAUGGGCACCAAGAUAUAGUGUCACCCAGCAUGAGACUUUGAAAGGUCAGAGACAGUGAAAUUUAAAAAGUCAGAUGGCAAAGAUCUGCCCAAGGAAGUCCUUUAACACAGGUGGGGCUGUUUGCCUUUCUGUGUUACUUAAAGCAUGUGCCAGGUAAUAUUUCUCUCACUCUCCUACUUUCUUUUUUUUUUUUUUAGUUGAACUAACAGCGUAUUUUAUUUCUCAGUAACUCCAUGUGCACUAAUUAAACAUGAGAUGAAUAGAGACAUUAUUAAUUGGAAAGCAAGACAGAAUUCAUAUCAUCCCCAAGACUGGGACACAAAAGGAGGCUGGAAAAGGAUUUAGAGAAAAUUUUAUAGAGCUGCAUUCGUACUCUUUGUGACGGUUAAUACUGAGGGUCAACUUGAUUGGAUUGAAGGAUACAAAGUAUCGAUCCUGGGUGUGUCUGGGAGGGUGUUGCCAAAGGAGAUAAAGAUUUGAGUCAGUAGGCUGGGAAAGGCAGACCCACCCUUAACCUGGGUGGGCACAAUCUAAUCAGCUGCCAGCAUGGCUAGAAUAUGAGCAGGCAGAAAAUGUGAAAAGAGAGACUGGCCUAGCCUCCCAGCCUACAUCUUUCUCCCAUGCUGGAUGCUUCCUGCCCUUGAACAUCAGACUCCAAGUUCUUCAGUUUCAGAACUCAGACUGUCUCUCCUUGCUUCUCAGCCUGCAGAUGGCCUAUUGUGGGACCUUGUGAUCAUUUGAGUUAAUAUUGAAUAUACUCUUCUUUAUAUAUAUAGCUAUUCCAUUAGUUCUGUCCCUCUAGAGAACCCUCACUAAUACACUCUUCUUCAGUUGCCUUUUCUGAGUGGAAACAUUAAAUCCUAGUGACUGGGUAAAGAGAUAUCACGGGGAGAACACUGAAAUUGGAGAUCGCCACAUGCGUGCAAACAGGGCCUGCUCUCAGUGGUCACAGGGCACAGGGAGGUGGCACAGCCUGCUGUGAAUCCCGGUGCUACAGCUCACCAACUGGAUGCUCCAUAACUUCUCUGGGCUCCAUUUCCUCUCUGAAGCCCAGAGAGGCCCCUGCAUCUCAAACUGCGUGGAUCCUUCCACUUUUCCUGUAGAGAGCCUCAUUGGAAGAAAGUCAUUAGUGCAAACUUGCCAGUCAUUCACAAGUGGUAAGAGCCUAUUUACUGUAAAUCUUCGAAACCAACUCAAGUCAAACCAAAUGUCAUUGUUUUCAUUGGGAACUAUGAUUAAAUAGUCAUUUUCUUUUUUUUUUUAAAUUAUUAUUAUUUUACUUUAAGUUCUGGGAUACAUGUGCAGAAUGUCCAGGUUUGUUACACAAGUAUACAUGUGCCAUGGUGGUUUGGUUUGCUGCAUCUAUCAACCCAUCCACUAGGUUUUAAGCCCAGCAUGCAUUAGAUACUUGUCCUAAUGCUCUCUCCCCUUGCCUCCCACCGACUAACAGGCCCUGGUGUGUGAUGUUCCCCUCCCUGUGUCCAUGUGUUCUCACUGUUCAACUCCCACGUACAAGUGAGAACAUGAGGUGUUUGGUUUUCUGUUCCUGUGUUAGUUUGCUGAGGAUGAUGGUUUCCAGCUUCAUCCACGUCCCUGUAAAGGACAUGAACUCAUUUUUUAUGGCUGCGUAGUAUUCCAGGGUGUUUAUAUGCCACAUUUUCUUUAUCCCUUCUAUCGUUGAUGGCAAUUUGGGUUGGUUCCAUGUCUUUGCUAUUGUACAUAGUGCUGCAACAAACAUAUGUGUGCAUGUGUCUUUAUAGUAGAAUGAUUUAUAAUCCUUCGGGCAUGUACCCAGUAAUGGAAUUGCUGGGUCAAAUGGUAUUUCUGGUUCUAGACCCUUGAGGAAUCGCCACACUGUCUUCCACAAUGGUUGAACUGAUUUACACUCCCACCAGCAGUGUAAAAGUGUUCCUAUUUCUCCACAGCCUCGCCAGCAUCUAUUGUUUCUUGACUUUUUAAUGAUCACCAUUCUAACUGGUGUGAGAUGGUAUCUCAUUGUGGUUUUGAUUUGCAUUUCUCUAAUGAGCACUGAUGAUGAGCUUUUUUCAUAUGUUUGUUGGCUUCAUAAAUGUCUUCUUUUGAGAAGUGUUUGUUCAUAUCCUUCACCCACUUUUUGAUGGGGUUUUUUGUUUUUUUCUUGUAAAUUUGUUUGAGUUCUUUGUAGAUUCUGAAUAUUAGAACUUUGUCAGAGAGAUAGAUUGCAAAAAUUUUCUCCCAUUCUGUAGGUUGCCUUUUCACUCUAAUGAUAGUUUCCUUUGCUGUGCAGAAGCUCUUUAGUUUAAUUAGAUUCCAUUUGUCAAUUUUGGUUUUUGUUGCAACUGCUUUUGGUGUUUUAGUCAUGAAGUCUUUGCCCGUGUCGUAAAUAGUCAUUUUCAAAAUUAACAUCAACCUUUGAUUUUUAAAUCAGUUUUGUGAGUCAUUUACCACAAGCUAAAUGUGUAAACCAUGGCAAAAACAAUCAUUGUAUUCCUCUUGCCUUUCUAAACAUUCCCGAUUUGUAACACUGUAUAAAUCCAUCAAUAGAAAUUAACUUUCUUUUAUUCUAUUAGUAAAGUAGGCAUAGAUCUCUCCACAACAAAUCCAUCUCACAAUGCUCUCCCUCCCUCACUGUGCUCUGUGGCAAGCAUUCCCAUUUUUGGCCCAUUUUUAUCAAAAGCCUAAUACACUCAUGGCUUUUCUUGGCAAUAUGUACUUAAUAGAGCAUAUUUUGCUUUGCCCACACAUAGGAAGCAAAGUAUGUAUAGAUCAGAAAUCUUCAAAUUACAAAUAACUUAAUAUUGCACUAUUAUACUAAAUAACUUAAUAGUACACUAAAAUGACAGGGUUAUUAUACACGUAGCCUUUUAAAAAAAUCUUGCACAAACAGCUUUGUAUUUAGACUUGUUUAAAACUCUUGCUAAUAAUGUCUGUGUUAACAGUGCUCUGUAAUUCACAAUUGCUAACAUGUAGAACCAACCUAAGUGCCCAUCGACCAAUGAGUGGAUAAAGAAAACGUGGUAUAUAUACACCAUGGAAUACUACUCAGCCAUAAAAAAGAACAAAAUAAUGUCUUUUGCAGCAAGUUGGGUGUAGCUGAAGGCCAUUAUUCUAAAUGAAUUAACACAGGAGCAGAAAGCCAAAAACCGUAUGUUCUCACUUAUAAGUGAGAGCUAAGCUUUGAGUAUGCAAAGGCAAACGGGUGAUAUAAUGCACUUUAGAGACUCAAAAGGUGAAGGAUGAGAGGGGGGCUAGGGAAAAAAAACUACACAUUAGGUACAAGAUACACUACUCAGGUGACAGGCGCACUAAAAUCUCAGAUUUUGCCACUUUAUAAUUCAUCCAUGUAACAAAAACCACUGGUAUCCCAAAAGCUACUGAAAUAAAAGAAAAAAAAGUCAGUGCUCUUGGCCAAUGGUUCCAACCUUUUUGGCACUAGGGACAGGGUUCAUGGAAGACAAUUUAUCCACUGAUUAAGGGAUGGGGGAUUGUGUCAGGAUGAUUCAAGUGCAUUACAUUUAUUGUGCACUUUAUUUCUAUUAUUGUUACAUUGUAAUAUAUAAUGAAAUAAUUAUACGACUCACCAUAAUGUAGAAUCAGUGGGAGCCCUGAGCUUGUUUUCCUGCAACUUGAUGGUCCCAUCUGUGAGUGAUGGGAGACAGUGACAGAUCAUCAGGCAUUAGGUUCUCAUAAGGAGCGUGCAACCUGGAUCCCUGGCAUGCGCAGUUCACAAUAGGGUUUGCACUUGUAUGAGAAUCUAAUGCUGUGGCUGACCUGACAGGAGGCGGAGCUCAGGUGGUAAUGUCAGCAAUGGGGAGUGGCUGUAAAUACAGAUGAAGCUUCUCACUCGCCCACCACUCACCUUCUGCUGUGUGGCUCGGUUCGUAACAGGUCAUGGACCAGUACCAAUCUGUGGCCUGGGCCUGGGGACUGCUGUUCUAGACCAUUGAUUGUCAGAAUCGGGAGUGCACAGUACAUAGUCAUUCAGUGGGUACCAGUGAGAAUAGGAAUAACAGGCUGGAAACAGCGCUCUACCCCAUGUGUGGAGAAGAGGAGAACUCCAGAGGGAACCCAGACAGAGUUCUCUACCUGCAACCAGCCUCUCCUUCACAGUGGAAGAGGGACUCUUCCUACAGGCUGCUUUUUUUCACACAAAAUUAUACUCAAGAAUAAACAAGCACCACUGUCACCUUACUUGAAAGAGAGCUUGUGUUCUAUUUUUGGCUUGGAGCUGCUGACUCUGGUCUUUUUUUCCACUCAGGUGUCUGGAAGCUACAGCUUCAUUUCCCUUUUUGGUGACCUCUUCUGUGGGCUCCUCACAUAGCUCCUUUGCCUCCUUCGUUCAGUCAAUGUACUGGGUCAGAUGCAUCGCUCUCCAAGUUGGCGUGGCCCUUCUGAAACUGGAGGCCAUCCUGCUGCAGCUUGCUGUAAUUCCUAUGUAGCCUUUAGCUGGUCUUGCAGGAUGCCUAUGAGCCUCUCACCCAAGUGAUGUUCUUCACAAAACCCCCUUUUAAUCCUGGGACAGCUUGUCAAUGCUCUCCAGCUAAAAGCUGUGGCUGGACUAGAUUUGGCUGAGCUGAUCUCAUUGCUUUUCCUGCCCUCCCUGGAGCUUAUUCCUUUUCAGCUGCACCACACCCCUCUCCACGGCCACCCUGCAGACCCUGCCUUCCAGCACCUGAUCCACCCCUGGGGGUGGGGGCGGUGGGGGGCAGUUCACAAUCUAGCAGUUGAAGCCCACGACAAUGACACAGGCCACCAGGGAGGCCUGCACAAGGGGUAGCAACUUCAUGCAGUGAUGCCUAUUUCCCAAUGCCAUCAUCUGAAAAUCAGCACUGAGAAUCUCUCUGACAUAGAUUGAGAAUUAAUCAUUUCUGUAAAAGCAGUAACAAAUAUUCAGUGCUUUCAUAUCACAUUAGAAAGAACGUGGCUCUCAUUAUUCCCCAGAAAGGGUUUCUUGAUUUGAUUCUUAGCAUGGGAAGUUUCCCCGCCUCCCCACCACCUUUGACAGAAUUACUAAUGACACCCAAUAAAAGCCUUUCUCAGCAAAGCCAGAAACCCAUUCUGGAGGUGAAUGGGAAUUCACCACAAGCAGCAUCAUUGCUCAGAGAACACCCUGGCAGCACAAGUGUCCCCAGUCCCUGGCUUUCUAACCUUCACUACCACUCCCCUGUUUUGCCAGCAAUCAUCAUCAUCCAUGCUCACUGCCUGCAGGGGAGGGUGAAUAGAGUUUAAACAAACAAGUCAGUUGAGUUCCUCAGUACUCUUUUUUUUUUUUUUUUUUUUUUUAACUCAUAACAGACAUAAUCAUUCUGAAAGUGCAUUUCAGGAUCUGGACUUUUUGAGAGGAAAGGAUCUGAGUGUGGGAGGGAGAAGGUGCUCCUAAGGUUAAACCCCCAAAGACAAUGGGGAUAAGGAUGAUACCAUUAGUAAUAUAUGCAUUUUUUGAAUUAAUGAUAAUUUUUAAGAACUAGCUUCCCACAUACUGAGAGAAAAUCAGAUAGACAUUCAUGGGAGAAUAAAGUGAAAGAUGUGAGCCAGAAAGCUAGACAUCUGAGAAUGACCCCAAUAGGGCGUCCAUCCUGCCUGGGAAGAGGGAGGACUGUAGGUGCAGGGGAGCAGGAGGGAGGUGUGCCUGGGAACACCACCAGUCUUUCCAAGUAGCCCCUGGCCUGGAAGGCUCAGAGAAGCUUAGGGUGGGACAAAGGGGACAGAGUCACAGCCCUGACCCAGGAGGACAUGGCAGGACAAGUGAGCCGGCAGUGACCAGAAAGUUGAAAUGCACCUCAUCAGUGGCUAGCAGGGGUCAGGGUCAAUCAUGAGUGAGAAUCCUGCAUCUCCUGACUGCUCAAUCACUCUCCAGCCUUCCAGAAUGCAGAGGGACCCUGGGAAGAGCUGGAGAAGAGAAGAGGAAGAAGGAUGGGAGACGGAAGAUUCUCAGUUGGAAAAAAAAACAGCAGCAAGAAACUUUGUUUACCUUGUUGGUCAGAUUAAAUUUCUGCCACCAAAAGAAAUCGAGAUUGAAAAGCUAAGUUUAAUUAUGGAGAAAAUAAAGUUACAUUUUUUUUUGCACAACAA